GAUGAUCAAUGUUGGAACGAUCCCGCGAUGCUUCUCUCUCAUUCUCCCGUCCCCCGCAGAAGCAGUAACACUACCUCCAGAUGGCUCCUCGUCUAGCAUCUCGUUUCCAGACCACGUGUACUCCUAUAGGUUUGGUGUUUUCUUUGGACAUGCAUCUGUAUAUGGUGCUAUGGGCCAUCUUGUGUGGCAUCCCAGAAGACUAGAACAUGAUUGGUAAGAAGAUGCUGCAAUAUGUAUGGUUCUAAAGGCUGAGCUUGAUGGGCUGCAUUAAGACCACAUUCAGGGUCUUGAUGUCACUUCAAGAAAAUAGUGAGAGGAAGUUUUUGGCAAGGUACAGGUGUGUGCACAGUGAAGAGUGGUUGCUUCCCAAGUUUUUAAUCUGACCUAGGCUUUGGUCAUACCAGUAAUCUUGACGAGUUGCACAAUGAGAUCCAGAAUGAAUUUUUGAGAUGUCCAUGAUGGGAUUACCGACAGUGGUUGAAGAAAUCAAAAUAUGCAAGGAGUAAUCAAGCAGUUUUGUCAGCAUUGCAGAGUCGAGCAGAUAUAAGCCGGUGUCUACAAGAAUUGAAUAUCAACUAUCGCUGCGUGUAGGUCAUCAGACUGGAUAAAACUUUGUGCAGAGGUUGCAUUUUCAAGAGGCUCAAGUCCUACCUCAUUAUCUAGUGAAGAGGGCAUCUAGUAGUAUCAGAGUGGAUCUUGGUCUGUUCUCCCAGGUGAUAGUGGGAGACACGACACCCAGCCAAGGCAGGGUAGGGGAAUGGGAGACAUAUCUAGUCAACGAUUUUUCUUGACCCAUCUUCAAACUCUGGCCCCACAAAAAUUUUGCCCAGUCUCCAAGAUGGCCGGCAGGUUUUCAAAAUGGCUUCCGUUAGAAAUCUAAAUACUAUUGGUAUUUAUUUGAUCAAUCUCCUUCAAAUUCCCGUGGCUCCAAUUUUGUUGAAAUACUGAAGGAGCAAAUUGGUACUCAUUCUAUAAUAAGGUAAAAGGUUAGGUAAUACAUGGAUUUAGGGUAAUUUCAGCUUGGUCAUUUUUUAUAUUCAUUUUGAAGGUGAAAGGAAAAUAUGUAACACCUCGUAAUAAACCUUAGAAGAUUUAA